rnacentral:rRNA from 1 species
CCUACGGGUGGCAGCAGUGAGGAAUAUUGGUCAAUGGGCGCGAGCCUGAACCAGCCAAGUAGCGUGAAGGAUGACUGCCCUACGGGUUGUAAACUUCUUUUAUAGGGGAGUAAAGUGAGGCACGUGUGCCUUUUUGUAUGUACUUUAUGAAUAAGGAUCGGCUAACUCCGUGCCAGCAGCCGCGGUAAUACGGAGGAUCCGAGCGUUAUCCGGAUGUAGUGGGUGUAAAGGGAGCGUAGAUGGGUUGUUAAGUCAGGUGUGAAAGGUUGGGGCUCAACCGUAAAAUUGCAAUUGAUACUGGCAGCCUUGAGUACAGUUGAGGUAGGCGGAAUUCGUGGUGUAGCGGUGAAAUGCGUAGAUAUCACGAAGAACUCCGAUUGCGAAGGCAGCUUACUAAACUGCCACUGACAUUGAUGCUCGAAAGUGUGGGUAUCAAACAGGAUUAGAUACCCGGGUAGUC